rnacentral:rRNA from 1 species
CCUACGGGUGGCAGCAGUGAGGAAUAUUGGUCAAUGGACGCAAGUCUGAACCAGCCAUGCCGCGUGCAGGAAGACGGCUCUAUGAGUUGUAGACUUCUUUUGUCCGAGGGUAAACGCACAUACUCGUAUCUUUCUGAAAGUAUCGUACGAAUAAGGAUCGGCUAACUCCGUGCCAGCAGCCGCGGUAAUACGGAGGAUUCAAGCGUUAUCCGGAUUUAUUGGGUUUAAAGGGUGCGUAGGCGGUCGUAUAAGUUAGAGGUGAAAUCCCGAGGCUUAACUUCGGAAUUGCCUUUGAUAGUGUGCGGCGAGAGAGUGGAUGAGGUAGGCGGAAGGUAUGGUGUAGCGGUGAAAUGCAUAGAGAUCAUACAGAACACCGAUUGCGAAGGCAGCUUACCAAGCUACUUCUGACGUUGAGGCACGAAAGCGUGGGGAGCAAACAGGAUUAGAUACCCGGGUAGUC